rnacentral:rRNA from 1 species
GACGAACGCUGGCGGCGUGCUUAACGCAUGCAAGUCGAACGGAAAGGCCCUGCUUUUGUGGGGUGCUCGAGUGGCGAACGGGUGAGUAACACGUGAGUAACCUGCCCUUGACUUUGGGAUAACUUCAGGAAACUGGGGCUAAUACCGGAUAGGAGCUCCUGCUGCAUGGUGGUGGUUGGAAAGUUUCGGCGGUUGGGGAUGGACUCGCGGCUUAUCAGCUUGUUGGUGGGGUAGUGGCUUACCAAGGCUUUGACGGGUAGCCGGCCUGAGAGGGUGACCGGCCACAUUGGGACUGAGAUACGGCCCAGACUCCUACGGGAGGCAGCAGUGGGGAAUAUUGCACAAUGGGCGGAAGCCUGAUGCAGCAACGCCGCGUGCGGGAUGACGGCCUUCGGGUUGUAAACCGCUUUCGCCUGUGACGAAGCGUGAGUGACGGUAAUGGGUAAAGAAGCACCGGCUAACUACGUG